UACGAACUGUGCAAACGUUAUUCGGAAUCACUGGGCUUACAGGGUGCGUAGGCGGCAUUUUAAGUCAGGUGUGAAAUCCCCCGGCUCAACCGGGGAACUGCGCCUGAGACUGGAUUGCUCGAGUGAGGCAGGGGUGUACGGAACUUCCGGUGGAGCGGUGAAAUGUGUAGAUAUCGGAAGGAACGCCAGCAGCGAAAGCGGUACACUGGGCCUUGUCUGACGCUGAGGCACGAAAGCCAGGGUAGCGAACGGG
rnacentral:rRNA from 1 species